rnacentral:misc_RNA from 1 species
AAUUCUCAAUCCUCUUAACAUUUGAGGCUUUGGAUUUUGAAGUGUUGCUGGCCUUUUUCAAAAGUCGGCUACUUUUAAAUGUAUUAGCUAGCAUCUUCACAUAAGCUUUAGUUUGAUAAAUAUCUAUGCUAAUGGCUUUGAAGCAAAUGUUAGCUUCUAAUUGUUUUCAUAACACUAUAACA